rnacentral:rRNA from 1 species
ACGCACGCUGGCGGCCGGCUUCACCCCUGCAAGUCGCGCGAGACCUUCGGGUCUAGCGGCGGACGGGUGAGUAACGCGUGGGAACGUGCCCUUCUCUACGGAAUAGCCCCGGGAAACUGGGAGUAAUACCGUAUACGCCCUUUGGGGGAAAGAUUUAUCGGAGAAGGAUCGGCCCGCGUUGGAUUAGGUAGUUGGUGGGGUAAUGGCCCACCAAGCCGACGAUCCAUAGCUGGUUUGAGAGGAUGAUCAGCCACACUGGGACUGAGACACGGCCCAGACUCCUACGGGAGGCAGCAGUGGGGAAUCUUAGACAAUGGGGGCAACCCUGAUCUAGCCAUGCCGCGUGAGUGAUGAAGGCCUUAGGGUUGUAAAGCUCUUUCAGCUGGGAAGAUAAUGACGGUACCAGCAGAAGAAGCCCCGGCUAACUCCGUG